rnacentral:ribozyme from 1 species
CCCAGCACGAGCAGCUCCAGGCACGAGGGCAGAAGAAGGUGGUGUUGUUGAUUGGUGGUUCGGGGUGGUUGGGACAACAAAUUGUGCAUGCAUUUCGCAACCC